GAUGAACGCACAAGACGUGCCUAACACAUGCAAAUCGAAUGAAAACAAUAAUUAUUGUUUUCAUGGUGAACGGGUGAGUAAUACAUAAGAAUCAGCUUUUAGAUAAGGCAUAAAAGAGUAAUAUCUUGGUAAUUCCUUAUAUGCGCAGCAGUGCUUAAAAAGGGGAGUCCCGUCUAAAAACGAGCUUAUGCCUGAUUAGCUAGUUGGCGAGUUAAAAGCUCACCAAGGCGAAGAUCAGUAGCUGGCCUGAGAGGGCGGCCAGCCACAUUGGGACUGAGACACGGCCCAAACUCCUACGGGAGGCAGCAGUGGGGAAUCUUCUGCAAUGGGCGCAAGCCUGACAGAGCGGCGUCGUGUGAAGGAAGAAGGCCUGAAAUAGGUUGUAAACUUCUUUUACUGAGUAAUGAAUAAUGACAACGCAGUAAAAAAGUAUCGGCUAACUCCGU
rnacentral:rRNA from 1 species